rnacentral:lncRNA from 1 species
UUCUUUUAGGAGAAAGAAAGCCAUGAACGAGAUGUAUAAAACUUACAGUGUCAACAAUGCUUCUUUGGGCAUCAUAAGAUCAAUAGUUAGCAAGUCAUGAUGGAGGAUGACUUGCUAAUAAUUAGGAUCAAUAAUCUGCAGAUAAGUAUAUACAUGGAGAAAGAAGACAAUAUGCAGCAUCAACCUCCAUUACUUACUCGAAAACGAAAUCAAAUUGCCUCAACUAGAACAUAAAGUGGCAGUUCUACAAGUGCACAGACCAAAAGAAGUACUUUGAGAUUUGUUGGUGUGGCAGCAUAAGCUGAAUGCAGAGAACGAAUAAGGGCUUGGGCAUCACUUGUAUUUGAUUUCACCAUCCUCAACUCUAGGUUUCCUGAAAUUGAAAACAAAAGAAACAAGACAUAUUGGUAGUUUUUCAUCAAACACAACAACAAUGCCACAGAAAAAAAGUCUGAAAAAAUGCAUUAGCAAUAAAGAAGUUCACAAGCACUUAGCUUCAUAAGAAACAUCUAUGUUUUGAAAGGAAAAUUGGUGGAUCAGCUGAACUGAUGUGAUAAUCAUAGAUGUCUCAUUAACAGAUGGCGCAGAGGUACCAGUAAGAUGCUUCAUUGAGUACAAUGAACAACGAAACUGUGUAAUAAUAGAGUCUGAGACACGUAAUAGAGCAAUAAGCCAUAUGUUAUGACGACUAUUUGGGGUUGGCUACAUGGUCUUUUCGCAUCGCUGAGCCCAAUUGAGGGCAAUCUCACAGAUCAAAUUGAAAUCCAUCAAAGCCUUCUUAUUGUUUCUAAUUAGGCCUUCUUUAAUUGUGGACCUUCGAAGAAGCACUUAUUUAUAGCAAAUUUAAGCGUUCUCAGAAUGUAUUCUAGGCAAGCCCUAGGUUCCAUUAACAUCAAGCCAAAUGAAGAUUGAUCAAUCUCUCCAACAAUUUAGCAAGACAAAUGAGAGAAAAAAAUCUUUCUAGCCAAACUCAUUCAUCCAACAAAUUUGGCAAAUCCUCACUCGUUCAUUCAAAACCUAAGCCAACAAAUACCCCAAAUCCUAAGUUAUUUCGUGCGCCUAGACACAGACGGAUACAGAUUCUCCUUACUCUUUUGGCAUCACCAUGUCUCGUCAUCUCCGCAAAGAGGGCGUGCGCGACGGCCAAAAUCGAAGCUUUUCUAAAGCUGGUGCAACAACAACGAACAGCAACCAGAGAAGUUCAAUCAUAGCUAGAGAUCACAUCGAGUCAUGAAGAUCCAAACAGAAAAGCCGGACGACAUGCGAAGAUCAAAUCCCAAACUUCAAAGAGAAAUACAAAGAUGAAAGGGAAGGGAGGAUAUGGAGAGACGAAC